CGAUUGAACGCUGGCGGCAUGCUUUACACAUGCAAGUCGAACGGUAACAGGUCUUUCGGGAUGCUGACGAGUGGCGAACGGGUGAGUAAUGUAUCGGAACGUGCCCAGUAGUGGGGGAUAACUACUCGAAAGAGUGGCUAAUACCGCAUGAGAUCUCUGGAUGAAAGCGGGGGACCGUAAGGCCUCGCGCUACUGGAGCGGCCGAUAUCAGAUUAGGUAGUUGGUAGGGUAAGAGCCUACCAAGCCAACGAUCUGUAGCUGGUCUGAGAGGACGACCAGCCACACUGGGACUGAGACACGGCCCAGACUCCUACGGGAGGCAGCAGUGGGGAAUUUUGGACAAUGGGCGCAAGCCUGAUCCAGCAAUGCCGCGUGCAGGACGAAGGCCUUCGGGUUGUAAACUGCUUUUGUACGGAACGAAACGGUGAGCUCUAAUAAAGCUUGCUAAUGACGGUACCGUAAGAAUAAGCACCGGCUAACUACGUG
rnacentral:rRNA from 1 species